rnacentral:rRNA from 1 species
AUUGAACGCUGGCGGCAAGCCUAACACAUGCAAGUCGAACGAGUGGCGGACGGGUGAGUAAUGUAUGGGAAACUGCCUGAUGGAGGGGGAUAACUAAUGGAAACGGUAGCUAAUACCGCAUACCAUCGGAUGUGCCCAGAUGGGAUGAGCUAGGUGGUGGGGUAAAGGCUCACCUAGGCGACGAUCCCGAGCGGGUCUGAGAGGAUGACCAGACACACGUGUACUGAGACACGGCCCAGACUCCUACGGGAGGCAGCAGGGGGGAAUAUUGCACAAUGGGCGCAAGCCUGAUGCAGCCAUGCCGCGUGUAUGAAGAAGGCCUUCGGGUUGUAAAGUACUUUCAGCGGGGAGGCGUUACCCGCAGAAGAAGCACCGGCUAACUCCGUGCCAGCAGCCGCGGUAAUUC